AGUGAACGCUGGCGGUAGGCCUAACACAUGCAAGUCGAACGGCAGCACAGUAAGAGCUUGCUCUUACGGGUGGCGAGUGGCGGACGGGUGAGGAAUACAUCGGAAUCUACUUUUUCGUGGGGGAUAACGUAGGGAAACUUACGCUAAUACCGCAUACGCCGUACGGGGGAAAGCAGGGGAACUUCUGACCUUGCGCGAUUGAAUGAGCGGAUGCCGUUUUAGCUAGUUGGCGGGGUAAAGGCCCACCAAGUCGACGAUCGGUAGCUGGACUGAGAGGAUGGUCGCCGGCAUUGGAGGGGAGCCAGCGUCCAUGGGCCUACGGGACGCCGCAGUGGCGAACAGUAGACAGCAGGCGCAAGCAUGGUCCAGCGAUAGCGCGCGGGUUAAGACGGCCUUCGGGUUGUAAAGCCGUUUUGUUGGUAGAGAAACGCAGCAGGUUAAUACGCCGCGGUUCUGACGGUACCCAAAGAAUAAGCACCGGCUAACUUCGUG
rnacentral:rRNA from 1 species